rnacentral:rRNA from 1 species
GACGAACGCUGGCGGCGUGCUUAACACAUGCCAGUCGAACGAAGAGCGAUGGAAGCUUGCUUCUAUCAAUCUUAGUGGCGAACGGGUGAGUAACGCGUAAUCAACCUGCCCUUCAGAGGGGGACAACAGUUGGAAACGACUGCUAAUACCGCAUACGAUCUAAUCUCGGCAUCGAGGAUAGAUGAAAGGUGGCCUCUACAUGUAAGCUAUCACUGAAGGAGGGGAUUGCGUCUGAUUAGCUAGUUGGAGGGGUAACGGCCCACCAAGGCGAUGAUCAGUAGCCGGUCUGAGAGGAUGAACGGCCACAUUGGGACUGAGACACGGCCCAGACUCCUACGGGAGGCAGCAGUGGGGAAUCUUCCGCAAUGGACGAAAGUCUGACGGAGCAACGCCGCGUGAGUGAUGACGGCCGUCGGGUUGUAAAGCUCUGUUAAUCGGGACGAAAGGCCUUCUUGCGAAUAGGGAGAAGGAUUGACGGUACCGGAAUAGAAAGCCACGGCUAACUACGUG